rnacentral:rRNA from 1 species
AUCCGGUGAAAUUGUAGUGCAAGUGAAGAUGCUUGCUACCCGCGAUUGGACGGAAAGACCCCGUAGAGCUUUACUGUAGCUUAGCAUUGAAUCUCGGUAUUGUCUGUACAGGAUAGGUGGGAGACUUAGAAGCUUGGGCGUCAGCCUGAGUGGAGUCAUCCUUGGGAUACCACCCUGACAGUACUGGGGUUCUAACCGGCGGCCAUGAAUCUGGUCACGGGACAUUGUUAGGUGGGCAGUUUGACUGGGGCGGUC